GAACCGGAGGAUCUCAGAUAUUAAUUAACUUCCCCAAAGUUACACAGUUACUAAGGAGCAGAAACCAGAGUUUUACUUUCAUAUAGAGGCCUUUGCCCUUAGAUUUCCAACCAGUGAGUCAUGACUACGAGCAUUGGAGAGCAUGGAAGGAUAUUAUUAUAGAGACAAUGUUUCAGUGGAAGAAUUUCAAGCCCAGAUAAAUGCAGCCUCAUUGGAAAAGAUCAAACAGUACAACCAGAAGCUCAGGGCAUUCUAUGUGGACAAAUCAAACUCGCCACCAAACUCCACAUCCAAAGCUGCCUAUGUAGAUAAGCUAAUGAGGUCUCUCAAUGCUUUGGAUGAACUUUAUCGCCUGGUAACCUCAUUCAUCAGAUCCAAACGCAUAGCUGCCUGUGCAAACACAGCUUGCAGUGCCUCUGGGGUUGGCCUGCUGUCAGUUUCCUCCGAGUUGUGCGACAGGCUGGGAGCCUGCCACAUCAUCAUGUGCAACAGCGGUGUGCACCGAUGCACCCUGAGUGUGACGCUGGAGCAGACCAUCAUUCUAGCCAGAAGCCACGGGCUGCCUCCUCGCUACAUUAUGCAGGCCACAGAUGUCAUGAGGAAGCAGGGAGCAAGAGUUCAGAACACAGCCAAGAAUUUGGGAGUCAGAGACCGGACCCCUCAGUCAGCUCCAAGACUGUACAAGCUCUGCGAGCCACCUCCCCCAGUUGGAGAAGAAUGA
rnacentral:lncRNA from 1 species